ensembl:lncRNA
GUUUACUAACAGCAGUCGCCCGGCAACCCGAGAGGCCGGCCUCGAACCCUGCCCGCUUAGGGAACUCACCUGCCAGGAAUUCUCCUUCCUCUGCCUGCCCGGGCAGGUUCUUCCCAUUUUAGUGCAACCCUCGGAACUUCCCGACCCGGAGAGUGGGCCGAGGUCUCCCGGCCGAGAGUCAGCGCCCUCUCGGGCUCCGCCCGGCCCGUUCCGCAGCCCCGGAGGCCUGGUCCAGGCUGGGGCGGGGCAGGGAGAGGGGCGGGAGGGGCCUGCUUCCACCCAGCCGCCGCCCCUGGAGUCACCCACCAAGACAGACCCAGUUGGGUCCAAGCUCCUCCUCCAAGAAAUCUACGCCUGUGCAGGAUGAACCAGCCCCGGCUCAUCCCAUCAUCCAAUCAACACCACAAGCCACACGAACUUCGUGCGCGCGUGUUACAAGGACUGAACUCAGGGCCUCCGAACUGAGCUGCAUCCUCACUCCUUUCUUUAUUUUUUAUCAGGGAUCGAACUUGAGACCUUGCGCUUUCGAGACAGGCACAGAACCACUGAGCUAAAUCCCUAGCUCGACUUCUUUUCUUUUAAAAUAUCUCAGAUGACAGUGCUGAAAAUAACUCGUGUCAACCAGGGGUGGUGACGGCGCCUUAGAUCUGCGGGUGACCCUGGCGGAGCGCCUGCCUGAUCUGCCUGCUGUGAAGACACUGGCGGUUCUUAAAAUUUUAAAAAGACGGGCGGUGCGAGGCGCCCCCAGACGCAGCUGCCGUGAGAGAGAGCCGGCCCAGCCCAGCCCGCGUCCGCCCUCCUGUGCUGGACGCGCAAGACUUAUAGGAGGAGGAAGUGGGAGUUUCACGUUUACUUUCUUUAAAAAAAGGAACGCUCUGGUGUUUCAUGUUUAGCAAGCACUUACUCCGACUUAAAAGAAUCUUCAUCAACUUCCAUCCCCCAAAUUACUGGAUAUAAAAAGUCGCAUUUGUUUUUCUUUGUGCUGCUUGCUGUCAUUUAUCAGCCAC